AAAAAUCACAAACCAGAAAUGAUAAAUGAUAAAAAUGCAAACUCAACACCAAAAUGUCAAGCAAAGUGUCUAGUUUCAUCAUGCAAAACUUCAGAUUCAUUGGAUCAACAACCAUCAUUUCACAAAUGCAUAAGCAAGGAAAUGUCCAAUAUGCACACAUGUACAAGAACCCUAGGCAAAAUAUUUAAUCAGCCAAGCACAACUUGAGUUAUCAUGAUGAUAAAAAAC
rnacentral:lncRNA from 1 species